CAGUAGCCACGGGAAUACGAAGGGGGCUAGCGUUGUUCGGAAUUACUGGGCGUAAAGCGCACGUAGGCGGACAUUUAAGUCAGGGGUGAAAUCCCGGGGCUCAACCCCGGAACUGCCUUUGAUACUGGGUGUCUAGAGUAUGGAAGAGGUGAGUGGAAUUCCGAGUGUAGAGGUGAAAUUCGUAGAUAUUCGGAGGAACACCAGUGGCGAAGGCGGCUCACUGGUCCAUUACUGACGCUGAGGUGCGAAAGCGUGGGGAGCAAACAGGAUUAGAGACCCCUGUAGUCCCUGUCUCUUAUAU
rnacentral:rRNA from 1 species